rnacentral:tRNA from 1 species
GCCCGAGUGGUGGAAUGGCAGACACAACGGACUUAAAAUCCGUUGACCGCAAGGUCGUGUGGGUUCGAGUCCCACCUCGGGCA